rnacentral:rRNA from 1 species
CCUACGGGAGGCUGCAGUGGGGAAUAUUGGACAAUGGGGGGAACCCUGAUCCAGCCAUGCCGCGUGUGUGAAGAAGGCCCUCGGGUUGUAAAGCACUUUCAGUGAGGAAGAACGCCUGGUGGUUAAUACCCAUCAGGAAAGACAUCACUCACAGAAGAAGCACCGGCUAACUCCGGGCCAGCAGCCGCGGUAAUACGGAGGGUGCGAGCGUUAAUCGGAAUUACUGGGCGUAAAGCGCGCGUAGGUGGCUUGAUAAGCCGGUUGUGAAAGCCCCGGGCUCAACCUGGGAACGGCAUCCGGAACUGUCAAGCUAGAGUGCAGGAGAGGAAGGUAGAAUUCCCGGUGUAGCGGUGAAAUGCGUAGAGAUCGGGAGGAAUACCAGUGGCGAAGGCGGCCUUCUGGACUGACACUGACACUGAGGUGCGAAAGCGUGGGUAGCAAACAGGAUUAGAUACCCUUGUAGUC